CACGUGAUAGAAAGAAUCCGCAUAUUUGCACGUGCUUUUUUUCCGGAUUCCGGAACGCCGUCAAAUAAAAGUCUCCAUUUACACAUUAUUGUCUAUGCUACAAGAUGGCCGACGAAGCGAUCGAGAAAUUUCCUCGACUUAAAGGACAAAGUUACCAUACGUAUUAAAUCUUUACGGUUCUCGAAAUUGAAGCAUCUUCAUGAGAAUCAAAAUAUAAGUGAGACUGAAGCCGACCGUGAACAUAAUUUUGGUGAAACUACUCCUUGUCCAGUGUCCACUGCAGCACCACGUGGGUACACCGGUAUCUGAUGUUGUUUUCAGUAUAGACAUUAAAGACCAUGACCCUACAGAUGUUAAUUGGUAUGACGGAAGAAGCAAAAUUUUUGCAAAACAUAUUUUUUGUAUGCUGUGUCCGUGUCAGAUACAUAAGGUGAAUAUUUACGACUUAGUAUACAGGUAUAUCGAUCAUGACUAUGGUGCUUGUUUGUUUACGCACAGGUCUGAUACCAGUAUAUUUAGCUUCAAUUACCAAUAACCUUCAUAUAAUUUUUUUUCCUUCCUAAAGUAGUUUUAUUUAGCUAAAAAUUAAAACGUAUUUAAUGACCAGACUGUAACUUCUAGGAUAGAAGAAUAAAACCAGACAUUUCUGGUGUCAGAAAAUGAUAAAAGGCCGGAUUGGUGAAAAAUUAAAAGUAAUCAUACUUAUCCGUGCCUAACACACGAGGUGGUGUUUAGUUACUCAGAUCAAAAAAUGGAGAAACAUAUUUCGCUUAAAUUGUUCAAAUGCAGAAAUGUAUAAACUUUCUCUGCUUUGGAUGGCAGAUGCUUUUUAAUUAUUAUAACCUCUUUUAUAAAUGAUAGUGGACAUUUACUUGCAAAUCUUUUGUCUUUUUGAAAUAAAAAGCAAAUUGUAAAAAGUUGCAUUAAAAAAAAAGAAACAACUUUAGGAUCAAGUGACAAAAAAAAUAGGGUCAGUCGGGUAGCAGGAAACAAGACUAUUUUUUUUUUAGCCUUAUGUAAUAUUUAUGUACCUGUAAUAAAUUUAUGUAUGGAACAGUAUUUGUUUUAUGCUCAAAAGGGCCCUGAAUAUAAACAAAUAUCAUAUUUAUAGAUUAUAAAAGAAAUAUUUAAUACUACAGUUGAAGCAAGCUAUGAAUUAGACAGUGUAUUCAGCUUUCCCUGCUGAAAUAAUGUGACCAAAUCAAGUGUCACCUGGAAAGAGGAAUUAAUUCAAGGGUGCUUUUUACAUUAACUCCAAAAUAGCCAUUGGUUUGUAUUUUUUUUUUCAAUUUACACUUGCACAUGUAUCAGGGAAAAUCCAGAAAUUUUUUUCAAGGGGGUGGUAAAAAGGAGGUGUUUUAUAAUACAUGUAUUAAAAAUUAAAUUUAUGAUUUUUAGUACUUGUAUUUUUUAUUUAAACACCAUAAUGUACAUACAGUAUUAUUGUAUACAUAUAGAAGCAUUUUCUUAAGUCAAUAAUUUCUCAAAGAUCAUAUUAAUAUUUCAGGAAAGUUCAAGCCAGAUCUGCUGCUACAGCAAACUGAACAUAAAGUGGCAUACUUGUGUGUUAGGAAACGAGGAACAUGUAUGGCUGGACUGAGAAUCUAACUUGGGAUCCCUGCAUCACUACUUACAUGUAGAUCCAUGGAAAUAUAGGAUCCUUGGCUAAUCAAGUGUCAUCUGCAGUGUUACAAAAGAAUAUUGGAUUUAUAUCAAUAAGAAAAAGAACUACCAGAAGGAGAUGGUAAAGAGGAACGGACAUAUCACACCAUAAGACGUGCUUCAAAAUCUGAAUAUACAGAGUGAAUUUUGUUUACUGCAGAUCCUUGUGAAAGAACACCUUUGUUGUAUUGACAUAAAAACAACAGAAUUGUCAGGAUCCUUGAACAUGACGCAACUGGCUGCAUACGGUGGCAAUUAAAAAUGCAUACAUGUUUACAUUGAUCUUUGUUAGCCAAUAAGACAAAAAGAAAAAUAGCAAGUUUAAUAUCCUAUUACCGUACAUGUACUGAAUGUAUUCACUUUAUUUUGUUCAACUACAUCAUGAGUUUAAAAAUUGUACAGUAUCACAUACAGUCUAAGGUGGGAUUCCUCUAACUUUUAUGAAUCUGUUUGCAAAAUCUAUACUUUAAAGUUACAAAUUAUUACCUAGUAUACAUUGUAUGUAUUUUUGUAAAUUAUUGCACUGUUUUUGUAUGUAUGUAAUGAUAAGCAAAUCACCCAAUUUUCCCGCACUUUUUACCAUGUAUUUAGCAUUUUUUUUACCAUGCUUUAGUGUAAUAAUAUCUGACAACUGAUGACCAGGCAGUCUUCAUUUAACAGUGUAAUACAUAACACAUUUUUAUCUGAAUAUUUUCAAAACUUCAUAAUCACUGGGUUUCCUUAUUUAUGUUGUACAUGUAUUUGGAAUAAAAAAGGAAUUGUUUAAUAAAAGAAAAGUGAAAUUAAUCAUUCUAUUGUUGUCAAAGGAAGAAAAUAAAAACCAGUUUACUUAUGCACA